rnacentral:rRNA from 1 species
UACAACUUUCAGCAACGGAUCUCUUGGCUCUCGCAUCGAUGAAGAACGCAGCGAAAUGCGAUAAGUAAUGUGAAUUGCAGAAUUCAGUGAAUCAUCGAAUCUUUGAACGCACCUUGCGCUCCUUGGUAUUCCGAGGAGCAUGCCUGUUUGAGUGUCAUUG